UCGGGAAUAUUGCGCAAUGGAGGAAACUCUGACGCAGUGACGCCGCGUAUAGGAUGAAGGUUUUCGGAUUGUAAACUAUUGUCAACAGGGAAGAAAAAGACAGUACCUGAAGAGGAAGCCCCGGCUAACUAUGUGCCAGCAGCCGCGGUAAUACAUAGGGGGCGAGCGUUAUCCGGAUUUAUUGGGUGUAAAGGGUGCGUAGAUGGGAAGGCAAGUUAGUUGUGAAAUCCCUCGGCUUAACUGAGGAACUGCAACUAAAACUAUCUUUCUUGAGUGCGGGAGAGGAAAGUGGAAUUCCUAGUGUAGCGGUGAAAUGCGUAGAUAUUAGGAGGAACACCAGUGGCGAAGGCGACUUUCUGGACCGUAACUGACAUUGAGGCACGAAAGUGUGGGGAGCAAACAGG
rnacentral:rRNA from 1 species